UACACAGGAGUGUAAGAGAAUGUCUUGCCCCCCAGUCCUGAGACUGUCCCGUUUCCUUCCAGGACUGGAUAUGUUCAAACUUCAGGGGUGCCUUCUGGACAGGCCUGAAUGAUCAGACGGAUGAAUCCGUAUUUCAGUGGACUACACGCGAUCCCAUCACCAGGCAGCUCGCGGAGCACUUACGAGACGACCUGGCGGACGGCGGCCUGAAGGAUUGUGUGUGGCUGGAUACAGCAAGCGGACUUCUAACGGAUGCCAGCUGUGAGGAGAGAAAGCCGUUCAUCUGCAAGUGCAGCGAGGCUACCGAGUGGUUUGUGAAGCAGCCUGGCCGGGGCGUGGUGGGAGACCCAGCAUUCCUGCACCCCUCUGCCGAGAGCCUGGAACAGGCCAAGCAGGAGUGCCUCCGUGAGAGGAGUGUGUGCGCAGGCGUUCUGCAGGCUGGGACAGGCGUCUACCUGAUCAGCUCCAAGGCUGGCAUCAUCUCCCGACCCAACUCCACACUCUACAUAUGGACCAUAUGUGCUGAGGGGUUCAGCGGCCUGCGCUGUCAUAGAUACACUGCCCCCCAAGAGCGACCCCCAUGUGAUUGCAGUGGCAGAGUCCGGGUGUCGGCAACCCAAGUGUGUGGUGUCCCUGUGCAGAGCUGCAUUGACUACUGUCGCCACACAACGGCCCAGAGCAACUGCUCCCUCUGCCUGCCUCUCUGCUCUGG
rnacentral:lncRNA from 1 species